CAUAUGGUACCACUUAUGUUCAAUGUGGGAACCAAGUAAUUUUGGUCAUUGAUUAAUUCUGCAAUUGAGCAGAGGAGCCAUGGCCAAAAUCGCACUUGGAAGCACCCGAGAGGCCACUCAGCCAGACUGCAUUCAGGCCCUCAUCGUUGAAUUCAUAGCCACCUUCCUCUUUGUCUUUGUUGGCGUUGGUUCUUCCAUGGUCGUUGGUAUCUAUCUACUAAUCACCUUCUUAAUUACUUCUAAUAUAUUACAUCACCAUCUUAUAGAAUAAUUAAUUAUGACUUACUUACCUUGGUUUUGGAUCAUGUUCUUUUUCCUUAAUUUUAGACAAGCUUGGUGGGGAUGCACUAGUGGGAUUGUUUGCUGUGGCCGUGGCACAUGCACUUGUGGUGGCUGUAAUGAUCUCCGCCGCCCACAUUUCCGGUGGCCACCUCAACCCCGCCGUCACCCUUGGCCUCCUCGCCGGUGGUCACAUCACUAUCUUUCGUUCCAUGCUCUAUUGGAUUGAUCAAUUAGUAGCAGCCGCAACAGCUUCUUAUCUCCUUUACUACCUCUCAGGAGGACAGGUAAUAAAAUUCGUUAAAAAAAUGUCCUUUUUUUUUUUGUAAUUAUAUGUUAAAAAAUCAAAAUAUAUAAUACUUUUCAAAUCAAAUUUACCCUUAAUCAGCUCGCAGUCAAGACUUCAAUCUCUAGGUUCGUGUCCUACAAAUCAAAUUAAUCUUAAUAAUUCAAAAAAUUAAUUUUCAAAUUUCUACUAUGAAAUAUUCUGGAUUUAUCAAAUCAAAUGUGUCCUAUAAAAUGAGUUUAAUUUGAACAAAUAAUUAUGAUUUUCAAAGUACAGUAGACUUAUUGUAUAGGACAAUUAAUUUAUCAUCAGAUAACUGUAUAAAAAAAUCCUUACACUACAACUCCAUUUGAAUUAAAUUAACAUACUUAAGUUGCAGUAUUCCGUUCAAUCUCAUCCUUCUAGCUUCUUAUUUGUAUAUUAGGGUAUGCAUCAAUGUGUAUUGUUUGUUUUGCAGGCAACUCCAGUUCAUACGCUGGCCAGUGGAGUGGGGUAUGGUCAAGGAGUAGUUUGGGAGAUUGUGUUGACGUUUUCUUUGUUGUUCACUGUGUAUGCGACCAUGGUGGAUCCCAAGAAGGGAGCACUUGCUGGGCUUGGGCCAACGCUGGUUGGGUUUGUGGUUGGGGCCAACAUCCUCGCAGGUGGGGCUUACUCUGCUGCUUCUAUGAACCCAGCAAGGUCUUUUGGGCCUGCCUUGGUCGCUGGAAACUGGACCGAUCAUUGGGUUUACUGGGUUGGGCCUCUCAUUGGUGGUGGCCUUGCUGGUUACAUCUAUG
rnacentral:lncRNA from 1 species